GACAGAGGUGCCGAGCGUUAGGCGGAAUCACUGGGCUUAAAGCGUGUGUAGGCGGGCCGUUAAGUAUCUUGUGAAAUCCCCCGGCUCAACCGGGGAAUGGCUGGAUAUACUGGCGGUCUUGAGCGAUCUAGGGGCAGCCGGAACAAGCGGUGGAGCGGUGAAAUGCGUAGAUAUCGCUUGGAACGCCGAAGGUGAAAACAGGCUGCUGGGGUUGUGCCGACGCUGAGACACGAAAGCCAGGGGAGCAAACGGG
rnacentral:rRNA from 1 species